rnacentral:misc_RNA from 1 species
AUGCCCAGAAAAAAAAAAAAAAAACCAAUUAUUGUGAUGGUGAGUUGUUUCCUUUGGAUUUCUUCCAUUUUAUUUACAGAUUUCGCGUCACCUCCCCAAUUUUCCAUCGUCAUUGUCUCUAUUUGCGUAAAACAGCAGAUGCUUUCUCCCUAUUGUUUAUCGCUAGAUUCCUCCGUAGUUGCGUGCCACGUCUCCUUCUCCGUUAUUCUUUCGGCUAGCACGUGCCUGUCAUGUGAUGGCUGGUCUCUUAUAUUCCAUUUUCACAAACCUCCUCCUCCUCUUUAUUGUCCCUGUUUGGUUGUCUUUGUUUUGGUUGUAUUGAUGUGUUUCUUGUUUGUUUAGGGUUUAAUGAUGUGUUUCUUGUUUGAUUAGGACUCGUUUUGUAUUGCUUUAUCCGUUCGAAUCUUUUUUGCCCUUUUCUUUUCCUGCCUAAUUUUGCUGUUAAAUUUUGAUUUGCAGGUUGACGAGGAGAUUCUGGUGGAUAAAGCUGGAAGUUGAUGGAGAAGCAUAUACGAAGGAUUCUUCUUUCUGGAAAAUGCAUUAAGUAAAUUUCCUUGGUCAAUGACAGAAGCAAUUUGCAUUUCUGCUUUAUUUACAUUAAUGUGGCAUCUCCUUUCUUGAAUUUAUGGUGCCAAUUACUUGUGUUUUCUCCAAUCAUUCUUCGAAUUUGUUUUAUUUGUAUGCAUUGCAAAGCUUCGAAGCAAAAAAUUGAUUUGGAAACUUCUGAGCAUAUGCGCACAAACCUUGGCACUUCUUUCUCAUUCCAUCCAAAUGGUUUGCGCAUGAACUUUUUGAAUCAUUAUUCCAAAAGAUGCACUUGUUUAUUCCCCAUUAUUCACAAUCACCCUUAAAUUAAUUCCCGCACUUUCUUCCUUUUGCCUUUUUUUAAAUGGCUACUUUCCCACCUUUGUUAAGGGGAGGAGAUCGCGUUUAUUGACAGAAGUUUGUUGUCUGACAUUAAAACUUCUCUCUCUAAGCCAUGGGACAUGGGAGUGUAAGAUUCAGCACGUCUACUGUGCAGCAGAUUUGUUGGCCAUACUAGGAACCAUCAGAAGAGUACGGUGUUUGACAAUCUCUUUCCAGCUGGAUUCUUAUAAACAGUUCUUAUCCAUACCAACAUAUAAACAAAAAAGAGCAUUGGCCAAUGAAAUAACUUUUAGAUCUCGAUAAGAAAUUUCAAUUAAAAUAAUUCUUUCAUCUGCAUAUUUCCCUUUUAUCAAUUACCUUCAUGGCUUGAAAUUUCGGAUUUUCAACUGACGCACAUAAUAGUACUCUUUGUUCCUUUUCGUGUUCUCAUUAGAGUCUGAGGUAAUAAACACCUUCUUUUGCCUUUCUUAUGUUCUUAUUUCCUUGCAGCUUUUAAGGGUUUUCUUUUCUUUUUGUUUCUUUUUUCUCCUUUUUGGCCUUGUGCUCAUUUUAUCUCCUAAUCUAGACAUAGAUACCCCAUUAUGUGUCUUCUAUUGUGCGUGGGCGUAUUUUACUCGCAGCCCUCAACUUUUGUUGUAAAUCCCACUUUCUUCAGAAUUCUCUCAAAUUUUUUGAGAAAAACUUUUUCUCUGAAAAUAAUAAAAGCUAAUUCUAGUUGCUAAAACUGCAAUGACAGCCUCAGCACUCACCAUUUUUGGUUUGUGAAUCAUGUUGAACCAUCCAACCCAUUGAUCACUUUGUUGAUUACUUCUAGAUAUUUGGUUUGCAAAGAAUUUUUCUUAUUUUUCUCAUGUUCAGUAUUAAAAAAUUAAGCUUGAAAAGGUUGGUAGAAGUACAAUUUGAGUUUGUUGAAAUUUGGAUUUCAAUUUGCAUAAUUAUGGAGCAAAUUUGCAGAAGAAUGGAGAGAGGGUGGGAUAUAAGGGGGAAGGGGAGUUGAAUUGGUGUGUUGUUUUUUUGGGGGGUUGGGGUUGGGGUUGUUGUUUGGAGAGAGAGGAGAGAGAAAUCUUUUUUUGUUCUUUGAUAGGUGUCAUAUCAGCUCUUUAAAUGCGAUAUCUGUUAAAAUUAGAGAAUUUGAUUUUUUUUAUUAAGUUGAUGUUUUUAAAUUUUUGUGAAUUGCAUUGUUACCGAAGUCAAGAAAUGGUGAGUGAUAUCAAGCGGGGCAACGUGAUGAUCUCCAUUCAACGAGUACCAUGUUGGUAGAACAAAGCAAAGCUUCAACCUAGGUGUCUAAAAUACAGGGGUAUGAGGUGUUAUAGGAUAUUACACUUUAGAUUUUGAGAAGAAUUCCGGUGAUUUAAUGGUAAGACCAUAGAAGAUUGUCUUUCGCUCUCCUUGUCCAGGCUUAUUGGAGCAGCUGCUCUUUUGAUCAGGUAGACAUGGUUUGUAGAUGCAAGCCUACUCUUAAUGACAGCUACGGGUUGAUUUAUUCUCUGAUUAAAUUGGAGAAUUACAUUGAGCCUACUCUUAAUGACAGCUAUGGGGUGACUUAUUCUCUGAUUAAAUUGGAGAUUGACAUUGAACAAUUUUGGGGUUUUUUAAUGUUGGUCUUUGAUGCGUCUUGAUCGUCUUCUCCUCCAUCUACAUUUGAUUAAAUAAAACGAUUUUGUUGUUUUAUGCGAAUAAUAUAUGCUUAAAAUUGGAAAGAAUUAUGAUAUUAUAUCCCAUGUUUUAUCUACCACAAUAUGCAUUUAUGCUAAUAUUUUUUGCUUUUAUUUGUGAUAGGGAUUUAUGGGCCAUUAAUGUAACCGGUGAUGAGCGGCUUUCAUUUUGACUAGAUACUAUCAAUCUCUGCGCUAUGAAGGUGGCAUGGCACACAUUCCAAACUAAAAUGCACUGCACCCGUGGUUUUCUUUAAUUACGAGUAGAUAAUUCCAGAAGUGAAAGUUAUGAAAUUGGAAUCAUUUGGUGGGACCGCUGUGCAUCAAUUGAGGCCAUGUCUUCCGGAAUUUAGCGAAACAUGGAAAAGAGUAAAGACGUACCAAGAGGACCAAAUAACAUUUACAUGACAGAAACACCGUAAUGCAAGAGGACCAUACCUUUUGUAGCUCAAUGCUCAUGCUCAUCAAUGAGAAAGGCCAAAGUGGCGCUCCUGCUGCAAGGAGAGGAAAGAGCCAUCAUGAUAAGGCUCUCCACUUACUUAGCCUUCAAAAGAAAGAUUCUCUUCGCUGUCCCUAAUUCUGGGGAGAUGAAAAUCAGAGAGAAAUUAAUUAACGAGCAAAACAAACACGAUGAAAGGGAGUUGAACAUUGUUAUCUUAUGAAAGAUAACGAUAAAAUGAAUUAAUGUGACGGUACCCCACCACCGUGUGUCAUCUUUUCUUUUAUUUCUUUUUUCAACUUGCUCGUAAUGGAGGAUGCCACCCAGGACAUGAGCUUGCUUUUGACAGAGAAAGGAAGAUAUUGAUAGUCAUCAAGUGGCAAUCUCGUGGAUCCCACAGAGCGUUCAAUCCCCAUCUGACACUGUAAGGUCACUGUUUGUUUAAUGAGCUGCAAGCAUCGGUGUGGGGUACUAAGUGAAUAUGGAAAGCAGCGAAGCUGAAAUUGAUGAGGUGUAGGUGGGAUCACUAUUAGUGGACCCCUUGGAAUGUUUAACUUCAAAGUGGGUAUUAUCAAGGGAGGGACAAUUUUUCGUAAUAAUUUAUUUCUUGAAUGUUUGUUUAUGGGUCCAUGUGACUGAAGUGGACAAGAUGAUCUUAUACAAAAAUGAAGCUUUACUGUCCGCAUGUAUUGUCUUGACUUGAUAAUUCUUUUAUAAGGGACGAUGGGGAUUGAGAAGGCGGCUGUUCUUGCGGGGUCAGCUUGUCUGAGUUAUCUCAAAUUAGAUAUUGCCUGUUACAAUUUGAAGAUUUAAAGUUUAUUUAGUUGAAAUUAUUAUUGGAAA